UUAGAAACGUGACAUUGAACGCGAACGUACAGAUUAAGACUGCGUGGAUCGAAUUUUAAAUAGGUAUUGUUGUCAACAAAAGUGCAUAAAGCAUUUGUUUGGCAAACACACGUGGAGCUAAUCGUUUUAUUAGACAGCAACGAAGAACUGGGUCGAUACUAUAUUUGCGCAAAUAUUAUUGACAUCGCGGGACACAGCCGGAGCUAAAUUUACUGCUACUACCGCUGGGAAUUAUUAAUAGGCCAACACUUUUUUUCAUAUUCCGAUAGAGAUAAAGUCGAAAAAUUUGAUUUCAAGAAUAAAUUAAUACAAUUAUGUACUUAAAAGUGCACUGUGUUUUAUGAGAUCUAUGAUUUUCCAGAAUACACAAGUUAUCAUUGUAAUCUAGUACAUGCAUUGCGUAGUGUCAGGUCAAAAGGGCCUAGAUUAAAUAAAGGUGUAAUUUGCGGUGAUAGAUAAGUAGCUUGAACAACUGCAUUUACAUUUUGAAAUGCGAAAAUUCGGCUCGUGUAACUUACUGGAGUAUAAAUUAUCUUAAAUAAAAAGGGUUUCAAAA